rnacentral:rRNA from 1 species
GACGAACGCUGGCGGCGUGCCUAAUACAUGCAAGUCGAACGAGAGCGACCGGUGCUUGCACUGGUCAAUCUAGUGGCGAACGGGUGAGUAACACGUGGGUAACCUGCCCAUCAGAGGGGGAUAACAUUCGGAAACGGAUGCUAAAACCGCAUAGGUCUUCGAACCGCAUGGUUUGAAGAGGAAAAGAGGCGCAAGCUUCUGCUGAUGGAGGGACCCGCGGUGCAUUAGCUAGUUGGUGAGGUAACGGCUCACCAAGGCCGUGAUGCAUAGCCGACCUGAGAGGGUGAUCGGCCACAUUGGGACUGAGACACGGCCCAAACUCCUACGGGAGGCAGCAGUAGGGAAUCUUCCGCAAUGGACGCAAGUCUGACGGAGCAACGCCGCGUGAGUGAAGAAGGUGUUCGGAUCGUAAAACUCUGUUGUUAGAGAAGAAUAAGUGCUAGAGUAACUGUUAGCGCCUUGACGGUAUCUAACCAGAAAGCCACGGCUAACUACGUG